rnacentral:rRNA from 1 species
ACGCUCGACACCUCGGGGGGCAGCAGUGAGGAAUAUUGGUCAAUGGACGCAAGUCUGAACCAGCCAUGCCGCGUGCAGGAUGACGGCUCUAUGAGUUGUAAACUGCUUUUGUACGAGGGUAAACGCAGAUACGUGUAUCUGUCUGAAAGUAUCGUACGAAUAAGGAUCGGCUAACUCCGUGCCACAGCCGCGGUAAUCUGAGCGGGCUGGCAAGGC